rnacentral:rRNA from 1 species
CACGUAGGGUGCGAGCGUUGUCCGGAAUUAUUGGGCGUAAAGAGCUCGUAGGCGGUGUGUCGCGUCGGCCGUGAAAACUGUGGCUUAACUAUGGGCUUGCGGUCGAUACGGGCAUCACUGGAGUUCGGCAGGGGAGACUGGAAUUCCUGGUGUAGCGGUGAAAUGCGCAGAUAUCAGGAGGGAACACCCGGGUGGCGAAGGCGGGUCUCUGGGCCGAUACUGACGCUGGAGGAG